rnacentral:rRNA from 1 species
GUCCAGACUCCUACGGGAGGCAGCAGUGGGGAAUAUUGCACAAUGGGGGAAACCCUGAUGCAGCGACGCCGCGUGAGUGAAGAAGUAAUUCGUUAUGUAAAGCUCUAUCAGCAGGGAAGAAAAUGACGGUACCUGAGUAAGAAGCCCCGGCUAACUACGUGCCAGCAGCCGCGGUAAUACGUAGGGGGCAAGCGUUAUCCGGAUUUACUGGGUGUAAAGGGAGCGUAGACGGCAGUGCAAGUCUGGAGUGAAAGCCCGGGGCCCAACCCCGGGACUGCUCUGGGAACUGUGCGGCUGGAGUGCGGGAGGGGCAGGCGGAAUUCCUGGUGUAGCGGUGAAAUGCGUAGAUAUCAGGAGGAACACCGGCGGCGAAGGCGGCCUGCUGGACCGCGACUGACGUUGAGGCUCGAAAGCGUGGGGAGCAAACAGGAUUAGAUCCCCCCGUA